ensembl:lncRNA
CAGAUAAAAUAUUGUGUAACUCCUGUUCUUGAAGAAAUUGACUCAGCUCCUCACCAUGCAUCACUGACAAAUUCUGCAUUUCUUGGGCUUGAGAAGGAUAUUUGUCCCCACCUACUCACUAAGACAGAGGACCUCAAUCGUCCUUCAACAACAUCUGGAGCUGGGGCUGGAAGAAAUCCCUUGGGGCCUCCAAGCUUGCUGCCCAGGAAAGAAGAACCACAGUUUCCUCUGUGGCUGGCUGGAUCAGCCAACGCUGUCCCUCACUCUGUCCGUAAUGGUCAGUCAGCCAAGGAAAGAGUCUCUAGUUUGGCCUACUCAUCUGCACCAAAAAAUAUCAAGAAGUUUUAUUCAAGCAGAGCUAACACUAUCAGCAAGUAUCAUUCUAAAGCCAAUAUGGUGCAUGACAAUAGGAAUCACAACAAGCAAUGUCAAAGCAAAGUGAGACACAAGGGGAGAGAGUUGCUUUCAAUGAGAAAAAAGUUGUCUCUGUACUGAAGGAGUUGAGUAAACGCUGAUUCUUCAUGGAAACUGGUAGUUUAUGUAUUCUUUGAGAAAUUUUGAAUUAAUAAAAAUUCAAAUAGUAAGAGAAUUGAAACA